GUGGCGAACGGGUGAGUAACACGUGAGUAACCUGCCCUUGACUUUGGGAUAACUUCAGGAAACUGGGGCUAAUACCGGAUAGGAGCUCCUGCUGCAUGGUGGGGGUUGGAAAGUUUCGGCGGUUGGGGAUGGACUCGCGGCUUAUCAGCUUGUUGGUGGGGUAGUGGCUUACCAAGGCUUUGACGGGUAGCCGGCCUGAGAGGGUGACCGGCCACAUUGGGACUGAGAUACGGCCCAGACUCCUACGGGAGGCAGCAGUGGGGAAUAUUGCACAAUGGGUGGAAGCCUGAUGCAGCAACGCCGUGUGCGGGAUGACGGCCUUCGGGUUGUAAACCGCUUUCGCUCAUGACGAAGCUUUGUGUGACGGUAGUGGGUAAAGAAGCACCGGCUAACUACGUGCCAGCAGCCGCGGUGAUACGUAGGGUGCGAGCGUUGUCCGGAUUUAUUGGGCGUAAAGGGCUCGUAGGUGGUUGAUCGCGUCGGAAGUGUAAUCUUGGGGCUUAACCCUGAGCGUGCUUUUGAUACGGGUUGACUUGAGGAAGGUAGGGGAGAAUGGAAUUCCUGGUGGAGCGGUGGAAUGCGCAGAUAUCAGGAGGAACACCGGUGGCGAAGGCGGUUCUCUGGGCCUUUCCUGACGCUGAGGAGCGAAAGC
rnacentral:rRNA from 1 species